GCCCUAGUAGCGCAGUCGGUUAGCGCGUCAGUCUCAUAAUCUGAAGGCCGUGAGUUCGAGUCUCACCUGGGGCA
rfam:Clonorchis sinensis DNA, scaffold: 572, strain: Henan.